rnacentral:lncRNA from 1 species
GUACCCGAGGCGAUGCCGGUGCCGCUAACCGCCCUGCUCUCCUGCGGGUGAUGUCUGGGGCUUUCUUCUUGGGCCCGCAGGUGCUUCCGGAGUUGGGGGCAAGGUGCACCCUCCAGCAAGGCCUGGCCUUGCUAGGAGCUCUGGACCGCCGCGAAUCCCCUCACCCACUCCAGGCCUGAGCCUAGAGGGAGGCAGGAUUUCCUCUGGGCUGCCUUUGAGGCGUUUACCCGCCUGGCAGCGUUAGAUUUGCAUAACCAGAUACGAAUUCCAGUGGAGAUGCAGUGGGUGUGUCUGCAUUUCCGAUUACACCAUCAUUUUAAAAGCUGUGAUGUUCGAAGAUUUGGAGUUUUAAAAGCAGUUUUUACUGUCAUUAUUUUGCUGUGUCUUAAUUUGGAAGAUGGAACAACAGCCCAGACUGAGGGUAAUAUGAAGGGUGUUGAGAAUUUGACAGCAUCACCAUAUGUGCUUCAAAUGAUACCACAUUCCUGAUUUUCAGUAACCAGGUAAGUGUUUUUCUUGCCUGUGCCGAAUUUGCAAUUAGGAAAUUCUGUUCCUAAUUGAACACCAAAACUUAUCAUCUCAUGGUGAAUAUAGAGAAACUCUGCUUAAAGCUGGUGAACUUCUCUUUAUGAGCAGAAGGAUUUAAUGUGACUAAACUUUCCAGCAGACACUCUGGGGAAUUGAGCUUAUUAUAUUUUGUUUUGGUUUAGCUUUUUUUUUUUUUUUCUUUUUUGGGCCACACCUGCGGCAUAUGGAGGUUCCCUGGCUAGGGGUCCAAUAGGAGCUACAGCUGCUGGCCUACAGCACGGCCGUAGCAAUGCCAGAUCUGAGCUGUGUCUGCAACCUGCACCACAGCUCAUUGCAACGCUGGAUCCGUAACUGAGCAAGGCCAGGGAUUGAACCCUCAACCUCAUGGGUCCUAGUUGGAUUCGUUUCCCUUGCACCAUGAAGGGAACUCCCCUUCUGGUUUAGCUUUUUUUUUUUUGCUACUUCUUUGGGCUGCUCCCGAGGCAUAUGGAGGUUCCCAGUCUAGGGGUCGAAUCG